AGCAUGGGAAGUAGUUUGGACUUCCGUAGCAACUAUAUUUCUUACAUGUAUGCAGACCGUUCAUGUGGUAGGUCUCCCCUUGGACGGGAUGCCAGAAAAAAGCUUAACAGAUUGAACAUUUCUACCCUUUUGAUCACACAAAGGUUAUGGUGACGCAAAAGACCCAAAUUUCAAAUAGUUGAAAUAAUCCAAUGUGAGAAUUUUUAUUUGUUGUAUAUCCAUCAUACAAGUUUAGGCUCA